AUUGAACGCUGGCGGCAGGCCUAACACAUGCAAGUCGAACGGUAACAGGAAGAAGCUUGCUUCUUUGCUGACGAGUGGCGGACGGGUGAGUAAUGUCUGGGAAACUGCCUGAUGGAGGGGGAUAACUACUGGAAACGGUAGCUAAUACCGCAUAACGUCGCAAGACCAAAGAGGGGGACUUUCGGGCCUCUUGCCAUCGGAUGUGCCCAGAUGGGAUUAGCUAGUAGGUGGGGUAACGGCUCACCUAGGCGACGAUCCCUAGCUGGUCUGAGAGGAUGACCAGCCACACUGGAACUGAGACACGGUCCAGACUCCUACGGGAGGCAGCAGUGGGGAAUAUUGCACAAUGGGCGAAAGCCUGAUGCAGCCAUGCCGCGUGUAUGAAGAAGGCCUUCGGGUUGUAAAGUACUUUCAGCGGGGAGGAAGGGAGUAAAGUUAAUACCUUUGCUCAUUGACGUUACCCGCAGAAGAAGCACCGGCUAACUCCGUG
rnacentral:rRNA from 1 species